UACGGGGGGGGCAAGCGUUGUUCGGAAUUACUGGGCGUAAAGGGCUCGUAGGCGGCCAACUAAGUCAGACGUGAAAUCCCUCGGCUUAACCGGGGAACUGCGUCUGAUACUGGAUGGCUUGAAUCCGGGAGAGGGAUGCGGAAUUCCAGGUUUAGCGGUGAAAUGCGUAGAUAUCCGGAGGAACACCAGUGGCGAAGGCGGCUUCCUGGACCGACACUGACGCUGAGGCGCGAAAGCUAGGGGAGCAAACGGG
rnacentral:rRNA from 1 species